ACUGUUACCAUAAAUAAAUCCUGUUAUAAUCGAAAUCUUAUUUGGGGCUAAUAUAGAUACCUUUCUCCAUGCAUUUUGGCCUACUAUCCACAAACGCUUAUGUUAUGUGUGUAUCCCAAGCUGUCAGACGCAGUGUUCAACGAUCAGUGCUAUCUUCAAAUACAUUCCAAACCAUAACAACCGUGGGAUAAGAAAAGAGUCAAUAAAGACAUUCUUAUCAUAUGAUGGUAGAAAGUGAGUUCUUCCAAUGAUGCUGAAUGAAAGGACAGAUAAAAAGAAAUACUUCAAUGAAAGGAUGUUAUUGAAAGCCACAUUAUCCUCUGUUAAUAUUGUUACAGAGAAUCUCAAAUAAAUAUUUUUCUAUCCCAUUAUAUAUAAA